rnacentral:lncRNA from 1 species
AACACUGACCUGACUCGUGGCCUUCUGAAUACAUCCCAAGAUGCGUUUGUUCCUUGUCCUCCUGCUUGUGGCCAUAGUCUCCAUCCCUCAGUCUGAUGCCUGGGGACGACGGAGACGACGGUUCGUUAGAUGGCGCACAGUUGGCAGACUAGCAUUGACUGGGGCCAGGCUGUUGUUGGACAAACGUAAUGUGGAUAACCUUGAUACAAACAUGGACGGGGCAAUUGAUCUCUCAGAAGCUGAGACGCUAAUGGACAGACGAUCGGCCUUGGAACUCCUUUCGUUCGCUGAUGAAAAUGAUGACUCAAGCGUGAGUUUGGAAGAGUUCGCAAGGAGCAUCAACAACUUGGAGCAGUGAGUCAAAUAGCACUCCAUUGAAGAGGCACUGUGAAGACGAUCUCAAGGUUGUUGUCCUGAAUAGUGUUUAUACAAGAAAAUGGCUUCAAUAAAUCAUUUUUUCAAUCGUG